AAUGGAAAAUGCUUGGAAAUGCUCUUAUGCGAAGGGGGCCCAAGUGAAGACUUCGAAUAUGAAGAGGAAUUCGAUGACAGUCUUAAAUACGAACUAAAUUUUGAACUAGAGAAUGAAAAUCAAGAGCUUUUACAACAUUUGGAUCCCUGAAGCUGUUUCCUUUAUGUGGAACCCUUAAUUUCAUUGAUUUUUAUUAAAACUGUAUAUUAAUAUUAUGUUUUUGAUCCAAUACAACCAUAUUUUAAAACAUUUAAUAAAAUAAAAAAAAUAUAUAUAAAAA